rnacentral:lncRNA from 1 species
UUCCCCCAAUUUACUUCCCUCGCAUCCACUCUCUCCGCCGUCUUCCACACCACCGAUGCCUUCAACUAAGUCCUCCACGAACGCUCGCAAUGAAAUCUUCCAACGAUGCCGGCCAAUCACUUAUAUACCCACUAUCUCUUCAUCCCCCUUCAGAUUUCUCAUGGCCCUUAUUUCUCACUCUCUUUCCCAAAAUCAUCCUUCAUCGAUGCCAACCACUUGCUGCUACGACAACAUAUACUAGAGAUUCUCUGCAAUGUGCUCAGCCACAGACCAACUCUGAUUCAAAGGUGCUUUUAUUAUUUUUUGUUUAUUUAGCUAUUUUUCCGUAAUUAUUUGAUUUUGAUUCUGUAAAAAUAAAAUUUAGUUGGUUUUUGUCUUAGUAACGAUGUGGUCGACGACCCCUCAACCACUUCUCAUCUGCUGUCUCUAUGUUAGGUAUGAAAACUUCUCUAAAUAUUUUGAGUUACGAGUUUGGAAUCAUGGAAAUGUUAAGAUUUACCUUUUUUUUUUUUUAUUAUUAUGAAGAUUUCUUGUGCUUGCGUUGCCUGGUGGUGUCUUGUAAUUGAUGCUUUGUUUCUAUGCUGGAUCUUGCAGUGAUUCAGCAUUUUUCAGAUUUCUUUGUUAAGCCUUCAUUCAAGAACUUAAUUCUUAAGGUCUUUUUAUAUUUUAUUUAUGUAAACUGUGAGAAGAAAUAAAAGAGAAGCAACCUUGAUUGAGCACUGCCAUUUGAGAAUUUUCCAUUAUGGAUAAUUGUAGCUAUUAAAGACUUGAAGGCCCCUUCAGACAACCAAGAGACCAACGCUAGGCUGUGAAUCUAUUGUUGUAGAUGGUAGGUUUGAGCAUCCUUUGUUUUCCCUCUCUUUAUUAGAAAUAAAAAAUUGUGCCACCAUUUUAUUUCUUUCUUGUGCCUUUUAAAAAUUCUUGUUUGGCUCAUAUUCUUUUGAAACUUAAUUUUUAAAGACCCCUCAUUAUAAUUUUUUUUUUCCUUCUCUUUUCAUAUAUCGGAGGACUUCAAUGAAUUCACUUAAAUUGAUAAAGUCUCUAGUCUGCAAGAGAUAUUUGGUUAUGUACUGUGAAUGAGUAUAUGUUAUUGAUUUAAUUUUGUAUUCCCCUGUUUCCAUUUUAAAAGAUCUUUUUGCUAGUGUUUAAAUUUCAACCGAGAAGAAGUGAGUAUUCUAAAGGUUGCUGUUAUACAUUAUACAUAUGUCCUUUGGGAAAGUUUUUCUAACAUGACUAGGAUUUUGAAGUUGGACAUUUAUGUUUUUUGCUUUCCUGCUUGUAGGAAAAUGCCUAAGAAAAGAGUGGGUCUAACAUGACUAGGAUUUUGAAGUUGAACUUGCGUAUCUGAUUUUCAAACAUCUGAGAUGAAAUUUUUCUCUCAUUUUUGGCUAAUGGAGAUUGUGAAUUGGCAAUCAGGUUGAGGAGCUAUUUAAAAACAUACAUUGCCUAUUUGAUUUGGAUUUUCUAUUUUUCUCUGGUUCGAUGUAGCAGUAGCCAUUUUGAUUUGGCUAGAAGAUUUAGCUAUAAGGAAUUGCUUUCUGCUUUUUGAAACCAAACCAAAUUCUCAUUUGAAGCAAUAAGUUUCUAGGAAUCUGUUAUACACAUGAACUUAUUUGAUGACUGCAAAUACCUAUAUUAAUUUCUUGGACCUUGAUUUGGAAAAGGGGGUGAAGGAGAGUGACUUCUAAACUGAUUUUUAAGAGUUAUAUUCAUUAACGAAAAGAGGUAUAUCUCAUUUUUGCUUAAAAUUUUGUUCCCAUUAUCCAAUUGAAACUGUUAGCUAAACAGUGUGUAGUUGAAGAUAAACAAGGUUGAUCUUUUUCUCUUUAUUUCAGUGUAGUAUGGUGCUCCUAUUUUUGUGUUUGUAAAUGUGCAAGAUGAACUAUAAUAAGAAGAAGAAUCUUGUUAGGCACUGAGGUCUUCCAGUUAAGGUUGUGAUUGAUUACAACAUGAUGGCAAUCUAGUAAUCACAGUGAUGAUUAUAGUGAUUUAGAUUGAUAAGGUAGUGUUUUGUGCUUUAACUUUCAAAUGAUAUGCCAUUGGCAUUGCAGGUGGGUUAGAGUUCUUUCUUUCUAGGAAGUGCAAUUAAGUCUUAAGGUGCUUGGGUAUUGCAGCUUGUUUUCAUUUUACCUUGCUGAUGCCCCUUUGGUCCACAUCAUAAUUUUUCUGUUUGAGAAAUUAGAUAUAUCAUUGUCCUUGUGUUUUUAUUAAUUUUUAACACUAGAAAGAAUUAUAUUUUAAAUUAAAGCUGGUCCUAAAUCAAAAUACCUGCAUAGCUCUGCCAAGGACUUCUGCACUAUUGUUGUUAUUGUUAUUAGUUCACUAAAUAGGUUGAAUAGAAUAUGGGAUGCUUCCUUUGUGAGAAAAAGCUCUGUAACCUCUAUGUACUCAUAUAAGCAUACCCACUCUUUUUCCCCAAAGAUUUCUGAUGGCUUGAGUUAUUUUCCUCUCUCUGCCCCCAGACCAUCUACCCUUCAGUUCGCUUUAUCUUAUAAUGUGUUUAGAACAAUGUCAUUUAGGUGUCUUUAACUUUACCGGGGUAGUAUCCUGUUUUUCCAUGUCAGAUUUAUUUGAGGUGGAAGGAUUUGGUUUGGGGUUUUGGACAGAGGACCAUUUGAGGUAAGAACCUCUUCUUCCUAUUACACUUGGUUCCAUUUAAGGUGUGGAUUAUACUUUGGAUUUUAUGAUUUAUGUUUUCUAAUGGGUUUGUGCCAUGCAUAAUAUUAGUCUUUACAUUGGUUUUUCGUAACUGUUUUCCUUCUUUAUUUGUGGUAAUUGAUGAUUUGAUUUCUGUUAUUAUCACAAAGGUAUGCUUUGACAAUCGAUAUUGAGAGCUAUGAAAAAUGAAUUCAAUUUUUUUAAGUUGGUUUAUUGAUGACCAGCAAUCAGUUUUCUUAUGUCGAACUCUUUUUUGAUGGCUUAUUUAGUUAAGAUUGUGAAUUUCAGCUUUGGUCUCUCUCUCUCUCUCUCUCUCUCUCUCUCUAUAUAUAUAUAUAUAUAUAUAUAUAUUAAUUUUAAUUUUCUUGGUUUUGGCAUCUUCUUGAGCAUAUUUCCUUAUUUUGUUUCUUUUGUAAAGGAAGAUGAUGAGUUUGAGAAGGUCAAGCAAACAAUUGGCAGUGUAAUUCCACGAUAUUAGAUCACAGCCCCUAUCCCACGUGUUAAAAGAUCAUGACUACAAAACUUGAGGAUACAAAAGGCAUAGUAUACAUGUAUUUUGUUUUGUUCAAAAGAGUGUACAAGCUUGGUAAUAGUCUUAGAGUGGAGAAAUAAUGAUUGCAGAACUUGGGUUUACCAAGGGCAAGAAUAUAUGGAGCUUGGCCUCCAGUCUUUCAGUGGAAUUUGGAUAUGUUAUGUGUACUUGAAUGGCUAGUACGCUUGUGUACUUUUGAAUGAGAGAAAUUUGUAUUCAUGUAAUUUUCUA